rnacentral:rRNA from 1 species
UAGGGAAUAUUGGACAAUGGGGGGAACCCUGAUCCAGCCAUGCCGCGUGGAGGAAGACUGCCCUCUGGGUUGUAAACUCCUUUUAUAUGGGAAGAACCGUCCUCAUUGAUGAGUGACCUGACGGUACCAUAGGAAUAAGCACCGGCUAACUCCGUGCCAGCAGCCGCGGUAAUACGGAGGGUGCAAGCGUUAUCCGGAUUCACUGGGUUUAAAGGGUGCGUAGGCGGAUAUGUAAGUCAGUGGUGAAAUCAACGGGCUCAACCUGUUAACUGCCAUUGAUACUGUGUAUCUUGAAUAUGAGAGAGGUCGGCGGAAUGUUGCAUGUAGCGGUGAAAGGCUUAGAUAUGCUACGGAACACCGAUUGCGAAGGCAGCUUACUAUUUCGUAAUUGACGCUGAGGCACGAAAGCGUGGGUAGCGAACA